UUCCGGUUGAUCCUGCCGGACCCUACUGCUAUCGGGGUGGGACUAAGACAUGCAAGUUGUCAUGGUAAGACGCGGCAUACGGCUCAGUAACACGUGGCUAACCUACCCUUAGGACGGGGACAACCCCGGGAAACUGGGGCUAAUACCCGAUAGGUGAGGAGGCCUGGAAUGGUUCCUAGUCGAAAUGCUUUGUCGCCUAAGGAUGGGGCCGCGCCCGAUCAGGUUGUUGGUGGGGUAACGGCUCACCAAGCCUAUAACCGGUACGGGCCGUGAGAGCGGGAGCCCGGAGAUGGGCACUGAGACAAGGGCCCAGGCCCUACGGGGCGCAGCAGUCGCGAAAACUCCGCAAUGCGCGAAAGCGUGACGGGGCUACCCCGAGUGCCGUCCGCUGAGGAUGGCUUUUCCCCGGUGUAAUGAGCCGGGGGAAUAAGGAGAGGGCAAGUCUGGUGUCAGCCGCCGCGGUAAUACCAGCUCUCCGAGUGGUAGGGAUGAUUAUUGGGCUUAAAGCGUCCGUAGCCGGCUUAGCAAGUCUCCUGUUAAAUUCAGCGACCUAAUCGUUGAGUCGCGGGAGACACUACUAGGCUAGGAGGCGGGAGAGGCCGACGGUAUUCUCGGGGUAGGGGUGAAAUCCUAUAAUCCCGGGAGGACCACCAGUGGCGAAGGCUGUCGGCUAGCACGCGCUCGACGGUGAGGGACGAAAGCUGGGGGAGCGAACCGGAUUAGAUACCCGGGUAGUCCCAGCUGUAAACGAUGCGGGCUAGGUGUUGGGGUGGCUACGAGCCACUUCAGUGCCGCAGGGAAGCCGUUAAGCCCGCCGCCUGGGGAGUACGGCCGCAAGGCUGAAACUUAAAGGAAUUGGCGGGGGAGCACCACAAGGCGUGAAGCUUGCGGUUCAAUUGGAUUCAACGCCGGA
rnacentral:rRNA from 1 species